AUACGGAGGGUGCAAGCGUUAUCCGGAAUCACUGGGUUUAAAGGGUGCGUAGGCGGCCUGGUAAGUCAGAGGUGAAAUACACGAGCUUAACUGGUGAAUUGCCUUUGAAACUAUCAAGCUAGAAUUAUGUUGAGGUCAGCGGAAUGAGUCAUGUAGCGGUGAAAUGCAUAGAUAUGACUUAGAACACCAAUUGCGUAGGCAGCUGGCUAGGCAUUAAUUGACGCUGAGGCACGAAAGCGUGGGGAGCGAACAGGAUUAGAAACCCCAGUAGUCC
rnacentral:rRNA from 1 species